AUUGAACGCUGGCGGCAGGCUUAACACAUGCAAGUCGAGCGGGGUGAUGGUGCUUGCACUAUCACUUAGCGGCGGACGGGUGAGUAAUGCUUAGGAAUCUGCCUAUUAGUGGGGGACGACAUCUCGAAAGGGAUGCUAAUACCGCAUACGUCCUACGGGAGAAAGCAGGGGAUCACUCGUGACCUUGCGCUAAUAGAUGAGCCUAAGUCGGAUUAGCUAGGUGGUGGGGUAAAGGCCUACCAAGGCGACGAUCUGUAGCGGGUCUGAGAGGAUGAUCCGCCACACUGGGACUGAGACACGGCCCAGACUCCUACGGGAGGCAGCAGUGGGGAAUAUUGGACAAUGGGGGGAACCCUGAUCCAGCCAUGCCGCGUGUGUGAAGAAGGCCUUAUGGUUGUAAAGCACUUUAAGCGAGGAGGAGGCUCUUUUGGUUAAUACCCAAGAUGAGUGGACGUUACUCGCAGAAUAAGCACCGGCUAACUCUGUGCCAGCAGCCGCGGUAA
rnacentral:rRNA from 1 species